rnacentral:rRNA from 1 species
GACGAACGCUGGCGGCGUGCUUAACACAUGCAAGUCGAGCGGUAAGGCCCUUUCGGGGGUACACGAGCGGCGAACGGGUGAGUAACACGUGGGUGACCUGCCCUCAGCUCUGGGAUAAGCCUGGGAAACCGGGUCUAAUACCGGAUAUGACUCCAUGACGCAUGUUGUGGGGUGGAAAGCCUUGUGCGGCUGAGGAUGGGCCCGCGGCCUAUCAGCUUGUUGGUGGGGUGANGGCCUACCAAGGCGACGACGGGUAGCCGGCCUGAGAGGGCGACUGGCCACACUGGGACUGAGACACGGCCCAGACUCCUACGGGAGGCAGCAGUCGGGAAUUUUGGGCAAUGGGCGAAAGCCUGACCCAGCAACGCCGCGUGAAGGAUGAAAUCCCUCGGGAUGUAAACUUCGCAAGAACAGGAAAGAAUAAGUAGGGACAAUACCCCCUAUUAUGACGGUACUGUUUGUAAGCUCCGGCUAACUCCGUGCCAGCAGCCGCGGUAAU